CUCCCACCAACACCACCUUGAUUUUAGAUUCGAGGAACCAGUAAAUGGCAGUGGCCCUGACAGUGAGAGCAGUGCAUGUCCCUCUGAAAAAAGUCCUACCAAAAUCAACAAGAAAUAACAACCUCAACUACAGGAAGAAGAAGAUGAUGCCAAUCGUUUCUUCCUUCCCCAUCAGGACGGAGCAGAACGUUAAUAACAGAAAGCUUCCUAUACUCCUUUUUGACAUCAUGGACACCAUUGUUCGCGACCCAUUUUACCAUGACGUUGCUCCUUUCUUCGGAAUGUCUUUCGAGGAAUUGAUAGAAUCCAAGCACCCAACUGCUUGGAUUGAAUUUGAAGAGGGGAGGGUUGAUGAGAUGGAGUUGGCAAGAAAAUUCUUCAAAGACAAAAGAUCUUUUGAUUUAGAAGGCCUCAAAAACUGUAUGAGGAGAGGAUAUUCCUAUAUAGAUGGUAUUGAAGAGCUGCUUUGCAAUUUAAAAGAAAAUAACUAUGAGAUGCAUGCUUUUACAAAUUAUCCUAUCUGGUACAGACUGAUUGAAGAGAAGCUAAAUAUCUCAACAUAUUUAUCUUGGACAUUUUGUUCUUGUAUGAUUGGAAAGAGGAAGCCUGAUCCUGAUUUCUAUCUGGAAGUCAUAAGACAUCUUAAAGUUGAUCCAACAAGCUGCAUUUUUAUUGAUGACAGGAGAAGUCACCAAGAAAUGUGAAAAUUACCAAAUGACGUACCCCAUGGCUAAUUCCUGUGAAGGCUAGUAUCCUUCUGUUGCUGGUUGAGAAAUGUAAAAGCUGCAAUUGAAAUUGGCAUUAAUGGCCUGCAAUUCAAGAAUGCAAAUUUGCUGCGUCAAGAUUUGUCUAAGAUGGGGAUUGAUAUAUCAACAGAUGACGGCUAAACCAUCAGUUGGAGCUUAAAGAAGAAAACACAUCUUGAUUUCUUGGUCCCCUCGUGAAGUUAAAAUUUUCUUCAAUUUUUUUUCAUUUACUUUUCUAAAAAAAAUUAUUUUCUCACAUCUUGAUUUCUUGGUCCUCUCAUAAAGUUAAAAUUUUCUUCAAUUCCUUUUCAUUUACUUUUUUUAAUUUUAUUUUCUGUGAUAUUUUGUUGCUGGAAAUUGAGAAUGUUUGAAGAGUUGAGAAUUUCUUCUCCCGGAUAGAAAAAAAAAAUGAAAAGGAAGAGAGAAAUGGAUUCAAUUUUAGUCAUAAAA